rnacentral:snRNA from 1 species
AUUGCUUCUCGGCUUUUUGGCUAAGAUCAAGCGUAGUAUCUGUUCUUAUCAGUUCCAUAACACAGCUACUUAGGUAGUGGAAGAGCCCAUACUGGCACCAAGGUACUUAAUUUCUAGGAUUUCAACAAGAAAUAGACCAAGCCAACCCCAU